ensembl:snoRNA
CUUCUGGUGAUGAUACCUUUGUCCAGUUCUGCUACUGAACUUGAGCGAUGACAGUUUGGAGAUCUGAAGAGG